rnacentral:rRNA from 1 species
GAUGAACGCUGGCGGCGUGCCUAAUACAUGCAAGUCGAGCGAACAGACGAGGAGCUUGCUCCUUUGACGUUAGCGGCGGACGGGUGAGUAACACGUGGGUAACCUACCUAUAAGACUGGGAUAACUUCGGGAAACCUGAGCUAAUACCGGAUAAUAUUUCGAACCGCAUGGUUCGAUAGUGAAAGAUGGUUUUGCUAUCACUUAUAGAUGGACCUGCGCCGUAUUAGCUAGUUGGUAAGGUAACGGCUUACCAAGGCAACGAUACGUAGCCGACCUGAGAGGGUGAUCGGCCACACUGGAACUGAGACACGGUCCAGACUCCUACGGGAGGCAGCAGUAGGGAAUCUUCCGCAAUGGGCGAAAGCCUGACGGAGCAACGCCGCGUGAGUGAUGAAGGUCUUCGGGUCGUAAAACUCUGUUAUUAGGGAAGAACAAACGUGUAAGUAACUGUGCACGUCUUGACGGUACCUAAUCAGAAAGCCACAGCUAACUACGUG